UACGAAGGGGGCUAGCGUUGUUCGGAAUCACUGGGCGUAAAGCGCACGUAGGCGGACAUUUAAGUCAGGGGUGAAAUCCCGAGGCUCAACCUCGGAACUGCCUUUGAUACUGGGUGUCUUGAGUAUGGAAGAGGUUGGUGGAACUGCGAGUGUAGAGGUGAAAUUCGUAGAUAUUCGCAAGAACACCAGUGGCGAAGGCGGCCAACUGGUCCAUCACUGACGCUGAGGUGCGAAAGCGUGGGGAGCAAACAGG
rnacentral:rRNA from 1 species